rnacentral:rRNA from 1 species
GGGCCCGCACAAGCGGUGGAUUAUGUGGUUUAAUUCGAAGCAACGCGCAGAACCUUACCUAGGCUUGAAAUCCUCAGAAUUCGACGUAAUGGUCGAAGUGCCCGCAAGGGAAUUGAGUGACAGGUGCUGCAUGGCUGUCGUCAGCUCGUGUUGAUGAAUGGUUGGUAGUCUCGCAACGAGCGCAACCCCUAUCUUUAGUUGCCAGCAUUAAGUUGGGCACUCUAGAGAGACUGCCCGGGUUAACCGGGAGGAAGGUGGGGAUGACGUCAAGUCCUCAUGGCCCUUAUGCCUAGGGCUACACACGUAAUACAAUGGUGCAUACAAUGGGAAGCGACCCGGCGACGGUAAGCAAA